UAGGGAAUCUUCGGCAAUGGACGGAAGUCUGACCGAGCAACGCCGCGUGAGUGAAGAAGGUUUUCGGAUCGUAAAGCUCUGUUGUAAGAGAAGAAUGAGUGUGAGAGUGGAAAGUUCACACUGUGACGGUAUCUUACCAGAAAGGGACGGCUAACUACGUGCCAGCAGCCGCGGUAAUACGUAGGUCCCAAGCGUUGUCCGGAUUUAUUGGGCGUAAAGCGAGCGCAGGCGGUUAGAUAAGUCUGAAGUUAAAGGCUGUGGCUUAACCAUAGUACGCUUUGGAAACUGUUUAACUUGAGUGCAAGAGGGGAGAGUGGAAUUCCAUGUGUAGCGGUGAAAUGCGUAGAUAUAUGGAGGAACACCGGUGGCGAAAGCGGCUCUCUGGCUUGUAACUGACGCUGAGGCUCGAAAGCGUGGGGAGCAAACAGGAUUAGAUACCCUGGUAGUCCACGCCGUAAACGAUGAGUGCUAGGUGUUAGACCCUUUCCGGGGUUUAGUGCCGUAGCUAACGCAUUAAGCACUCCGCCUGGGGAGUACGACCGCAAGGUUG
rnacentral:rRNA from 1 species